CUGCUGCCUCCCGUAGGAGUCUGGUCCGUGUCUCAGUACCAGUGUGGGGGACCUUCCUCUCAGAACCCCUACCGCAUCGUCGCCUCGGUGGGCCGUUACCCCGCCGACUAGCUAAUGCGCCGCAUGGCCAUCCGCAGCCGAUAAAUCUUUAAACAUCGGGAGAUGCCUCCCAACGUUGUUACGCGGUAUUAGACGGAAUUUCUUCCGCUUAUCCCCCUGCUGCGGGCAGGUUCCAUACGUGUUACUCACCCGUGCGCCGGUCGCCGG
rnacentral:rRNA from 1 species